CAAUAGCGUAUAUUAAAGUUGUUGCAGUUAAAAAGCUCGUAGUUGAAUUUCGGGUCCCCGCGCUCGGCGCUUCAUUGUGUCGUCGUGGUGUCCCUCCUCGCCGUAAGGCGUCCUUUACUGUGAAAAAAUUAGAGUGUUCAAAGCAGGCAAUCGCUUGAAUACAUUAGCAUGGAAUAAUAAGAUAGGAUCUUGUCUAUUUUGUUGGUUGCGGACAACGAUAAUGAUUAAUAGGGAUAGUUGGGGGUGUCCGUAUUGAGCUGUCAGAGGUGAAAUUCUUGGAUUUGCUCAAGACGAACUACUGCGAAAGCAUUCACCAAGGAUGUUUUCAUUAA
rnacentral:rRNA from 1 species